rnacentral:rRNA from 1 species
GAUGAACGCUAGCUACAGGCUUAACACAUGCAAGUCGAGGGGAAACGGCAUUGAGUGCUUGCACUCUUUGGACGUCGACCGGCGCACGGGUGAGUAACGCGUAUCCAACCUUCCCAUUACUGUGGGAUAACCUGCCGAAAGGCAGACUAAUACCGCAUAGUCUUCGAUGACGGCAUCAGAUUUGAAGUAAAGAUUUAUCGGUAAUGGAUGGGGAUGCGUCUGAUUAGCUUGUUGGCGGGGUAACGGCCCACCAAGGCGACGAUCAGUAGGGGUUCUGAGAGGAAGGUCCCCCACAUUGGAACUGAGACACGGUCCAAACUCCUACGGGAGGCAGCAGUGAGGAAUAUUGGUCAAUGGACGGAAGUCUGAACCAGCCAAGUAGCGUGCAGGAUGACGGCCCUAUGGGUUGUAAACUGCUUUUGUAUGGGGAUAAAGUUAGGGACGUGUCCCUAUUUGCAGUACCAUACGAAA